GGUCCGGUAGCUCAGUUGGAUAGAGCAACAGCCUUCUAAGCUGUGGGUCGUGGGUUCGACCCCCGCCCGGAUCA
rnacentral:tRNA from 1 species